UACGGAGGGGGCAAGCGUUGUUCGGAAUUACUGGGCGUAAAGGGUUCGUAGGUGGUUCGCUAAGUCAGACGUGAAAUCCCUCAGCUUAACUGGGGAACUGCGUCUGAGACUGAUGAGCUCGAGUGCAGGAGAGGAACGCGGAAUUCCAGGUGUAGCGGUGAAAUGCGUAGAUAUCUGGAGGAACACCGGUGGCGAAGGCGGCGUUCUGGACUGAAACUGACACUGAGGAACGAAAGCCAGGGGAGCAAACGGG
rnacentral:rRNA from 1 species